rnacentral:tRNA from 1 species
UACUUUAUAAUUUAAAAAAAAUAAUAAAUUGCAAAUUUAUAAAUAUAAUUAAAAUUAUUAAAGUAU